GAUUUCUGGUACGGUGCGCCUGGUCCGCCCCGUUUAGGUGUGUGAGUACCGGUGCGCGCCUACCAUCCUUCUGGGGAGCGGGUCUACCCUUCAUUGGGCCGGGCACGCGACCUAGAUCGUUUACUUUGAAAAAAUUAGAGUGUUUAAAGCAGGCUUAUUGCUCUGAAUACAUUAGCAUGGAAUAAUAAUAUAGGACUUUGGUUCUAUUUUGUUGGUUUCUAGGACUGAAGUAAUGAUUGAUAGGGAUAGUUGGGGGUGCUAGUAUUCAGUGGCCAGAGGUGAAAUUCUUGGAUUCACUGAAGACUAACUACUGCGAAAGCAUU
rnacentral:rRNA from 1 species